rnacentral:rRNA from 1 species
AAUGAACGUUGGCGGCGUGGAUUAGGCAUGCAAGUCGUACGAGAAUCGUAGCAAUACGAGGAAAGUGGCGGAAGGGAGAGGAUUACGUGGGAAUCUACCCUCAGAACUGGGAUAGCGGCGGGAAACUGCCGGUAAUACCAGAUAAUGUCUGUGGACCAAAGGUGUGAUUCCGUCUGGGGAUGAGCCCACGUCCUAUUAGCUAGUUGGCAGGGUAAUGGCCUACCAAGGCAAUGAUGGGUAGCGGGUGUGAGAGCAUGACCCGCCUCACUGGGACUGAGAACUGCCCAGACACCUACGGGUGGCUGCAGUCGAGAAUCUUCGGCAAUGAGCGCAAGCUUGACCGAGCGACGCCGCGUGCGGGAUGAAGGCCUUCGGGUUGUAAACCGCUGUCGUAGGGGAGCAAGAGAUGAGGGUACUCCCUCUGAUUUGAGCGAUCCUAGGAGGAAGGACGGGCUAAGUUCGUGCCAGCCGCCGCAGUAAUAC